rnacentral:rRNA from 1 species
GAGUUUGAUCCUGGCUCAGGACGAACGCUGGCGGCGUGCUUAACACAUGCAAGUCGAGCGGUAAGGCUCCUUCGGGAGUACACGAGCGGCGAACGGGUGAGUAACACGUGAGCAAUCUGCCCUUCACAUCGGGAUAACUUCGGGAAACCGAAGCUAAUACCGGAUACGACCACCGAUGGCAUCUUCUGGUGGUAGAAAGUUCCGGCGGUGAAGGAUGAGCUCGCGGCCUAUCAGCUUGUUGGUGGGGUAAUGGCCUACCAAGGCGACGACGGGUAGCCGGCCUGAGAGGGUGACCGGCCACACUGGGACUGAGACACGGCCCAGACUCCUACGGGAGGCAGCAGUGGGGAAUAUUGGACAAUGGGCGAAAGCCUGAUCCAGCAACGCCGCGUGAGGGAUGACGGCCUCGGUUGGUAACCGUACUUCUAGCAGGACGAAGACGAAAGUAGACGGUACCGUACGCGAGAA